UUCCUACGGGACGCAGCAGUGAGGAAUAUUGGUCAAUGGGCUUACGCCUGAACCAGCCAAGUCGCGUGAGGGGAGACUGCCCUAUGGGUUGUAAACCUCUUUUGUCAGGGAGCAACGCCGGCUACGUGUAGCCGGACUGAGAGUACCUGAAGAAAAAGCAUCGGCUAACUCCGUGCCAGCAGCCGCGGUAAUACGGAGGAUGCGAGCGUUAUCCGGAUUUAUUGGGUUUAAAGGGUGCGUAGGAGGAAGAGCAAGUCAGCGGUAAAAUUGA
rnacentral:rRNA from 1 species